rnacentral:rRNA from 1 species
CCUUGCGAUAAGCGCAGAUAAGGCAGUAAGAGCCGUUUGAGUCUGCGAUUUCCGAAUGGGGAAACCCAACUGCAUAAGCAGUUACUGUUAACUGAAUACAUAGGUUAACAGAGCAAACCGGGGGAACUGAAACAUCUAAGUACCCCGAGGAGAAGAAAUCAACCGAGAUUCCGGUAGUAGCGGCGAGCGAACCUGGAUUAGCCCUUAAGCACUCGGUGAAGUAGGUGAACAAGCUGGAAAGCUUGGCGAUACAGGGUGAUAGCCCCGUAACCGACGCUUCAUCGAGCGUGAAAUCGAGUAGGGCGGGACACGUGAUAUCCUGUCUGAAUAUGGGGGGACCAUCCUCCAAGGCUAAAUACUCCUGACUGACCGAUAGUGAACCAGUACCGUGAGGGAAAGGCGAAAAGAACCCCUGUGAGGGGAGUGAAAUAGAACCUGAAACCGUGUACGUACAAGCAGUAGGAGCACCUUCGUGGUGUGACUGCGUACCUUUUGUAUAAUGGGUCAGCGACUUAUAUUCAGUGGCAAGGUUAACCGUAUAGGGGAGCCGUAGCGAAAGCGAGUCUUAACUGGGCGCUCAGUCUCUGGAUAUAGACCCGAAACCGGGUGAUCUAGCCAUGGGCAGGUUGAAGGUUGAGUAACAUCAACUGGAGGACCGAACCGACUAAUGUUGAAAAAUUAGCGGAUGACUUGUGGCUAGGGGUGAAAGGCCAAUCAAACUCGGAGAUAGCUGGUUCUCCCCGAAAGCUAUUUAGGUAGCGCCUCGGACGAAUACUACUGGGGGUAGAGCACUGUUAAGGCUAGGGGGUCAUCCCGACUUACCAACCCUUUGCAAACUCCGAAUACCAGUAAGUACUAUCCGGGAGACACACGGCGGGUGCUAACGUCCGUCGUGGAGAGGGAAACAACCCAGACCGCCAGCUAAGGUCCCAAAGUAUUGCUAAGUGGGAAACGAUGUGGGAAGGCUCAGACAGCUAGGAUGUUGGCUUAGAAGCAGCCAUCAUUUAAAGAAAGCGUAAUAGCUCACUAGUCGAGUCGGCCUGCGCGGAAGAUGUAACGGGGCUAAGCAAUACACCGAAGCUGCGGCAAUAUCUUUUAGAUAUUGGGUAGGGGAGCGUUCUGUAAGCCGUUGAAGGUGAAUCGUAAGGUUUGCUGGAGGUAUCAGAAGUGCGAAUGCUGACAUGAGUAACGACAAAGGGGGUGAAAAACCUCCUCGCCGGAAGACCAAGGGUUCCUGUCCAACGUUAAUCGGGGCAGGGUGAGUCGACCCCUAAGGUGAGGCCGAAAGGCGUAAUCGAUGGGAAACGGGUUAAUAUUCCCGUACUUCUGACUAUUGCGAUGGGGGGACGGAGAAGGCUAGGUGGGCCAGGCGACGGUUGUCCUGGUUCAAGUGCGUAGGCUUGAGAGUUAGGUAAAUCCGGCUCUCUUUAAGGCUGAGACACGACGUCGAGCUGCUACGGCAGUGAAGUCAUUGAUGCCAUGCUUCCAGGAAAAGCCUCUAAGCUUCAGAUAGUCAGGAAUCGUACCCCAAACCGACACAGGUGGUCGGGUAGAGAAUACCAAGGCGCUUGAGAGAACUCGGGUGAAGGAACUAGGCAAAAUGGUACCGUAACUUCGGGAGAAGGUACGCUCUUGAUGGUGAAGUCCCUCGCGGAUGGAGCUGACGAGAGUCGCAGAUACCAGGUGGCUGCAACUGUUUAUUAAAAACACAGCACUGUGCAAAAUCGCAAGAUGACGUAUACGGUGUGACGCCUGCCCGGUGCCGGAAGGUUAAUUGAUGGGGUUAGCGCAAGCGAAGCUCUUGAUCGAAGCCCCGGUAAACGGCGGCCGUAACUAUAACGGUCCUAAGGUAGCGAAAUUCCUUGUCGGGUAAGUUCCGACCUGCACGAAUGGCGUAAUGAUGGCCACGCUGUCUCCACCCGAGACUCAGUGAAAUUGAAAUCGCUGUGAAGAUGCAGUGUACCCGCGGCUAGACGGAAAGACCCCGUGAACCUUUACUACAGCUUGGCACUGAACAUUGAACCUACAUGUGUAGGAUAGGUGGGAGGCUAUGAAGACGUGACGCCAGUUGCGUUGGAGCCGUCCUUGAAAUACCACCCUUGUAUGUUUGAUGUUCUAACUUAGACCCAUUAUCUGGGUUGAGGACAGUGCCUGGUGGGUAGUUUGACUGGGGCGGUCUCCUCCCAAAGAGUAACGGAGGAGCACGAAGGUGGGCUAAUCACGGUUGGACAUCGUGAGGUUAGUGCAAUGGCAUAAGCCCGCUUAACUGCGAGAAUGACGGUUCGAGCAGGUGCGAAAGCAGGUCAUAGUGAUCCGGUGGUUCUGUAUGGAAGGGCCAUCGCUCAACGGAUAAAAGGUACUCCGGGGAUAACAGGCUGAUACCGCCCAAGAGUUCAUAUCGACGGCGGUGUUUGGCACCUCGAUGUCGGCUCAUCACAUCCUGGGGCUGAAGUCGGUCCCAAGGGUAUGGCUGUUCGCCAUUUAAAGUGGUACGCGAGCUGGGUUUAGAACGUCGUGAGACAGUUCGGUCCCUAUCUGCCGUGGGCGUUGGAAGAUUGAAGGGGGCUGCUCCUAGUACGAGAGGACCGGAGUGGACGAACCUCUGGUGUUCGGGUUGUGUCGCCAGACGCAUUGCCCGGUAGCUAAGUUCGGAAUUGAUAAGCGCUGAAAGCAUCUAAGCGCGAAGCGAGCCCUGAGAUGAGUCUUCCC